GCAUCAGUGGUUUAGUGGUAAAAUCCAUCGUUGCCAUUGGCAGCCAUCGAUGGGCCCCGCGUUCGAUUCGCGGCUGAUGCA
rnacentral:tRNA from 1 species